GCCCGUAUGGUGAAAUGGUCCAGCAUCACUUGUGGUCGAUGCAUCAAGAAGGAUGCAAUGGGUUCAAUCCCCAUUAUGGGCA